rnacentral:rRNA from 1 species
GUACGGCCGCAAGGCUAAAACUCAAAGAAAUUGACGGGGGCCCGCACAAGCGGCGGAGCAUGCGGAUUAAUUCGAUGCAACGCGAAGAACCUUACCAAGGCUUGACAUAUACUGGACCGCAUCAGAGAUGGUGUUUCCCUUCGGGGCUGGUAUACAGGUGGUGCAUGGUUGUCGUCAGCUCGUGUCGUGAGAUGUUGGGUUAAGUCCCGCAACGAGCGCAACCCUCGUUCUAUGUUGCCAGCACGUUAUGGUGGGGACUCAUAGGAGACUGCCGGGGUCAACUCGGAGGAAGGUGGGGAUGACGUCAAAUCAUCAUGCCCCUUAUGUCUUGGGCUUCACGCAUGCUACAAUGGCCGGUACAGAGGGUUGCGAUACUGUGAGGUGGAGCUAAUCCCUAAAAGCCGGUCUCAGUUCGGAUUGGGGUCUGCAACUCGACCCCAUGAAGUCGGAGUCGCUAGUAAUCGCAGAUCAGCAACGCUGCGGUGAAUACGUUCCCGGGCCUUGUACACACCGCCCGUCAAGUCACGAAAGUUGGUAACACCCAAAGCCGGUGGCCUAACCCUUUUGGGAGGGAGCCGUCUAAGGUGGGAUUGGCGAUUG